GUGGUGGCUCAGUGGCAGAGCGCCUGCCUACCAUGUGUGAGGCACUGGGUUCGAUUCUCAGCCCCACA
rnacentral:tRNA from 1 species